AGAGUUUGAUCCUGGCUCAGAACGAACGCUGGCGGCAGGCUUAACACGUGCAAGUCGAGCGCCCCGCAAGGGGAGCGGCAGACGGGUGAGUAACGCGUGGGAAUCUACCCAUCUCUACGGAACAACUCCGGGAAACUGGAGCUAAUACCGUAUACGUCCUUCGGGAGAAAGAUUUAUCGGAGAUGGAUGAGCCCGCGUUGGAUUAGCUAGUUGGUGGGGUAAUGGCCUACCAAGGCGACGAUCCAUAGCUGGUCUGAGAGGAUGAUCAGCCACACUGGGACUGAGACACGGCCCAGACUCCUACGGGAGGCAGCAGUGGGGAAUCUUGCGCAAUGCGCGAAAGCGUGACGCAGCAACGCCGCGUGGGGGAAGACGGCCUUCGGGUUGUAAACCCCUUUCAGGAGGGACGAAGGUUCACCGGUGAAUAGCCGUGUGGAUUGACGGUACCUCCACAAGAAGCUCCGGCUAACUACGUGCCAGCAGCCGCGGUAAUAA
rnacentral:rRNA from 1 species